rnacentral:rRNA from 1 species
GUCUAUGACCACACCACCCUGAACAUGCCUGCUCUCGUCUGAUAGCGGAAGCUAAGCAGGGUCGGGCCAGGUUAGUACUUGAAUGGGAAAAAACAAGAUAGCGAUGAUA